rnacentral:rRNA from 1 species
UUUUGAUUAAUAAUUUAAAGUCUAAUCUGCCCACUGAUAAUAUAUUAAAGGGCUGCAGUAUUUUGACUGUACAAAGGUAGCAUAAUCAUUAGUCUCUUAAUUGGUGACUUGUAUGAAAGAUUUAAUGAAAUAUAUACUGUCUCUUUUUAAUUUAUAAAAUUUAAUUUUUUAGUUAAAAAGCUAAAAUAUAUUUAAAAGACGAGAAGACCCUAUAGAGUUUAAUAUUUAAUUAAAUUAAAAUUUUUUAUAAGAUUUAAAAUUUUAAUUUUAGUAAAUAUUUUGUUGGGGUGACAAAAAAAUUAAAAAAACUUUUUUUAUAAAUUUACAUAAAUAAAUGAGUAAGUGAUCCGUAAUUUACGAUUAAAAGAAAAAAUUACCUUAGGGAUAACAGCGUAAUUUUUUUUUUUAGUUCAAAUAAGAAAAAAAGUUUGCGACCUCGAUGUUGGAUUAAGAUAAAAUUUAAAUGCAAAAGUUUAAAAUUUUUGAUCUG